CAACAACAACAGAACAAGUAGUAAGUUCUGGGCUGAGCCAGGGUGCCCAUUCCAGACUCCAACUAUGUAACUAUAAAGAAUUAAGGUGAUUUUUCUUAGGUUUAGAUCAACCUCAAAAUACAGAACCUGGAUGAUGCUGGACAUUUGCAAUCCCCCCAUGAAUGGAUCGAUGCAGUUCUAAGUACCCAGAACACACUGUGGUUUCAGAAGAGCCAGUGCUUUCACAGCUCCAGGCCGCCUGCAACAGAGAUGGGGACAGGGAGCACCCAAAUGGUUGAUAAUAAAAAGCUA
rnacentral:lncRNA from 1 species